rnacentral:rRNA from 1 species
AUUGGACAAUGGAGGCAACUCUGAUCCAGCGAUGCCGCGUGAAGGAAGACGGCCUUAUGGGUUGUAAACUUCUUUUAUACAGGAAGAAACCUUUCCACGUGUGGAAAGCUGACGGUACUGUAAGAAUAAGGAUCGGCUAACUCCGUGCCAGCAGCCGCGGUAAUACGGAGGAUCCAAGCGUUAUCCGGAAUUAUUGGGUUUAAAGGGUCCGCAGGCUGUUUGUUAAGUCAGAGGUGAAAUCCUACCGCUCAACGGUAGAACUGCCUUUGAUACUGGCAAACUUGAGUUAUUGUGAAGUAGUUAGAAUGUGUAGUGUAGCGGUGAAAUGCAUAGAUAUUACACAGAAUACCGAUUGCGAAAGCAGAUUACUAACAAUAUACUGACGCUGAGGGACGAAAGCGUGGGUAGCGAACAGGAUUAGAUACCCUGGUAGUCCACGCCGUAAACGAUGGUCACUAGCUGUUCGAUGUACAUUGGUACAUUGAGUGGCUAAGCGAAAGUGAUAAGUGACCCACCUGGGGAGUACGCUCGCAAGAGUGAAACUCAAAGGAAUUGACGGGGGCCCGCACAAGCGGUGGAGCAUGUGGUUUAAUUCGAUGAUACGCGAGGAACCUUACCAGGACUUAAAUGUAAGUUGCAUGAUUCAGAAAUGGAUCUUUCUUCGGACUACUUACAAGGUGCUGCAUGGUUGUCGUCAGCUCGUGCCGUGAGGUGUCAGGUUAAGUCCUAUAACGAGCGCAACCCCUAUCGUUAGUUGCCAUCAAGUAAAGUUGGGAACUCUAGCGAAACUGCCGGUGCAAACCGUGAGGAAGGUGGGGACGACGUCAAAUCAUCACGGCCCUUACGUUCUGGGCUACACACGUGCUACAAUGGCCGGUACAGAAAGCAGCCACUAUGCGAAUAGGAGCUAAUCUUCAAAGCCGGUCUCAGUUCGGAUCGCAGUCUGCAACUCGACUGCGUGAAGCUGGAAUCGCUAGUAAUCGGAUAUCAGCCAUGAUCCGGUGAAUACGUUCCCGGGCCUUGUACACACCGCCCGUCAAGCCAUGGAAGCUGGGGGUACCUAAAGUCGGUGACCGAAAGGAGCCGCCUAGGGUAAAACUAGUAACUGGGGCUAAGUCGUAACAAGGUAGCCGUACCGGAAGGUGCGGCUGGAAUACCUCCUUUCU